CGCAUCCCAGAUUCCUAAAUCUUAAUCCGGCAACGAUCCCGAAAUUUACCGUGCCUCACCCGAGGCAUAACAGACAAGAAAUAAACUAUGAAGCGCUCAUUUGCUUAGAAGCAAAAGAUUUAAUAUCACUUUUACCCAAAGCAGGGCCUAGAGUAAAAUUUUGGGAAAAAACUGGAAGCUUAUAAGAUUGUAACACUUGAGGUUACUUUUUCUCCACAAAUCUUAUCCUUAAAUGAAAAUGAGGUUGAAAAUAUUGCACAAACUUUAUCUUUUGAUGAAGAUAAGAUUGAAACUAUUGUUAUGUCAAAUAUUGAGGAAAAUGGCUCAUCCCAGCACUUUCUAAACACUCCUGCCUGCGAUAUUAUUGAAAAUGUUCCUUCUUCUAGCAGCUUGCAAGAAGAAAUCAUUCAAAAAAACUGUGUUCAGCUUAAUCCUGCACAUACAUUACUAUGUAAAGAGAAAGAA